GAUGAACGCUGGCGGCGUGCCUAAUACAUGCCAGUCGAGCGAACGGACGAGAAGCUUGCUUCUCUGAUGUUAGCGGCGGACGGGUGAGUAACACGUGGAUAACCUACCUAUAAGACUGGGAUAACUUCGGGAAACCGGAGCUAAUACCGGAUAAUAUUUUGAACCGCAUGGUUCAAAAGUGAAAGACGGUCUUGCUGUCACUUAUAGAUGGAUCCGCGCUGCAUUAGCUAGUUGGUAAGGUAACGGCUUACCAAGGCAACGAUGCAUAGCCGACCUGAGAGGGUGAUCGGCCACACUGGAACUGAGACACGGUCCAGACUCCUACGGGAGGCAGCAGUGGGGAAUCUUCCGCAAUGGGCGAAAGCCUGACGGAGCAACGCCGCGUGAGUGAUGAAGGUCUUCGGAUCGUAAAACUCUGUUAUUAGGGAAGAACAUAUGUGUAAGUAACUGUGCACAUCUUGACGGUACCUAAUCAGAAAGCCACGGCUAACUACGUG
rnacentral:rRNA from 1 species